rnacentral:rRNA from 2 species
ACGGGGUGCAGCAGGCGCGAAACCUUUGCAAUGUGCGAAAGCAUGACAAGGUUAAUCCGAGUGUCUCCUGCUAAAGGAGUCUUUUGUCAGUUGUAGAAUCACUGAUGAAUAAGGGGUGGGCAAGUUCUGGUGUCAGCCGCCGCGGUAAAACCAGCACCUCGAGUGGUCAGGAGGUUUAUUGGGCCUAAAGCAUCCGUAGCCGGUUGCAUAAGUUUUCGGUUAAAUCUAUGCGCUCAACGUAUAGGCCGCCGAAAAUACUGUGCAGCUAGGGAGUGGGAGAGGUACACGGUACUCAAUAGGAAGGGGUAAAAUCCUUUGAUCUAUUGAUGACCACCUGUGGCGAAGGCGGUGUACCAGAACACGUUCGACGGUGAGGGAUGAAAGCUGGGGGAGCAAACCGGAUUAGAUACCCGGGUAGUCUCAGCUGUAAACGAUGCAGACUCGGUGAUGCAUUGGCUUGUGGCCAAUGCAGUGCCGCAGGGAAGCCGUUAAGUCUGCCGCCUGGGAAGUACGUACGCAAGUAUGAAACUUAAAGGAAUUGGCGGGGGAGCAC